GAUGAACGCUGGCGGCGUGCCUAAUACAUGCAAGUCGAGCGAACAGACGAGGAGCUUGCUCCUCUGACGUUAGCGGCGGACGGGUGAGUAACACGUGGAUAACCUACCUAUAAUACUGGGAUAACUUCGGGAAACCGGAGCUAAUACCGGAUAAUAUAUUGAACCGCAUGGUUCAAUAGUGAAAGACGGUUUUGCUGUCACUUAUAGAUGGAUCCGCGCCGCAUUAGCUAGUUGGUAAGGUAACGGCUUACCAAGGCAACGAUGCGUAGCCGACCUGAGAGGGUGAUCGGCCACACUGGAACUGAGACACGGUCCAGACUACUACGGGAGGCAGCAGUAGGGAAUCUUCCGCAAUGGGCGAAAGCUUGACGGAGCAACGCCGCGUGAGUGAUGAAGGUCUUCGGAUCGUAAAACUCUGUUAUUAGGGAAGAAAAAAUGUGUAAGUAACUAUGCACGUCUUGACGGUACCUAAUCAGAAAGCAACGGCUAACUACGUG
rnacentral:rRNA from 1 species